rnacentral:lncRNA from 1 species
GAGGUCUGCUGUUUGUCCUUGCAAAUCUCGUUUUUCUGCUGUACUAAUUUUGUCCCUGUGAUUCCUUGGCUAUAAUGGGGGUUCCUUGAUGGAAAAUCAUGUGCAUCCAUCCCUAGCUUUGAAUCUGGUUGUUAUUCAUUUAUUCAUGGGUUCUUGAGGAUGGCGCAGGAGUUUAUCUUUCGUGAUUUAUUUUGUGUGAGUUCAUACUGAGUUCUUCCCCUGUUUUUGAUUCAAUUUGAGGUCGCAGUAGUUUCUAGGGAAGUUCUUGUAUGCGUGGUGGAAGGGAAGAGCACCUGCUGCUCUCUGUCUCGCCGCCGGGAGCGACCGUCUUAGGAUUCAGUUUAUCCUCUUCUAGCUGUUGUGUGACUUCCAAAUAGCAGAAUUGGUUUGUGCAAUUUUGCAGAGGUAUAAUCGUGGUUUUCAGUUGUUGGUAGUCUUGCAGCUCUAUGCGCUACAGGUGACUAGAGUUCCUGACAAGUGAAAUCAGCUCCAGGCAGUGUAGUUCUUCUCCAUUGAAAAAGUUUCUGCUAGUACGUGCACGUUAAGUACUAGUGUCUUGUGCUAGUGCGUGUUACUCUUUUGGGUUAAGUAGCUCCCAUUUGAUUAGCCUAUAACCUUGCCGUGUAACCUCUUGGUCUAAUUAAGCACUAAUUUUUCCAGUACACUUUUCCGGUGCUUAUUAUUCUUUGAGCUCUCAAAGUCAAGAUUUGAGUAUUGUUGGACUAGUUCCAGUCUGUUUUGACAGGCAUAUUUUGUUUCCGCUGCGUAUUCCUCUAUUCUGAGCAUCAUAGUUUUUCCGUAACUAUCAUGCAAAAUUGAAGAGGUUAAAUUUUUCAAGGUCGUCAUUCAACCCCCCUUCUGACUCCCGGCAUUCGAUCCUACAAUUGGUAUCAGAGCCCGGUUGGCUCAUCUGUAGCCUUAAUCAGCUCUUGAGCCAUGGAGUCAUUUGCGAACCCGUCGCGUCCUCCGCUGUUCUCUGGGAGUGAGUGGCCGUUUUGGAAGUCUCGGAUGAAAACAUUUCUUGAAGCUCAAAGCUAUGUAAUAUGGCAAAUUGUUGUGCGAGAUUUUGCAAUACCUGCUCGUGUUGGUCCUGAGAAUAUAGUUGAUGUUGAAAAUAAUUCCAAAGCUAUUAACAUUCUCUUGUCAGGUUUGGAUAGGAGAGAGCAUGAGCGUGUUGCACACCUAGACACAGCCCACAAAAUUUGGUCCACUCUCAUCACUUACCACGAGGGCACUAGUGAGAUUAAGACAGCUCGUCAGGACAUUUACAAAGCCGAGUACAACAAAUUUGAGCAGUUACCUGGUGAGUCUCUAGAGGACAUGUUUGGUAGGUUUGAGGUCAUAGUUGGGAAAUUGAGGGGUUGUGUACAUUGAGUUGGAGAAAGCUAGACACAUCCUAAACUCUCUUGACCCAAUCUAUGAGAUGAGAAAGAUCGCGAUUCAAGAGUCCCAUAAACCUGAUGAGCUCACUGUAGACAUGUUGUUCUCCAAGCUUAAAACUCACCAAAUAGCUAGUGAAGGUAGAAACCCACCUAGGAACAGGACUCUUGCACUAGUUGGUAGUGAAUGCCAAACUGCACAUGGUCCCUCUAGUGUUUCUGAGUCUGGCAGUGGUCCUUCUUCUGGUUUUUCAUUUGCUUGUUUGGUUUCAGUCUCUGAUGAACAACUUGAAUCUUUGCCUGAGGAUGAUCUUGCUCUUUUUGUCCAUCGUUUUUCCUGAGCUUAUAAAAACGUGAGAGAAAGGAAAGGCAAACACACAAAAAUCUAUUUUGAGUGUGGUGUGCAGGGGCACUACAGGUCUGAUUGUCCAAAUUUCAAAGAUUAUGGUGAAAAUAGUGGUGGCAAGAACAACUAUAGCAAGAAGAAGUCGUUCUCUCGUCAUGAAACCAAGUUCCGGCCAAAGGCUGAGAAGCAUCUUCAAAAGAUGGUUGCUGCAAUCGCUUUGGGUCUACAAUCUGCAGUAGAUUUAAGCGACAUCAACUCUGACCAGAGUGGUGAGGAUGAUCCUCCUUCUCCCAAAGGGAAGGAUACAAAUAAGAAGGCGGCUGAUCGGCUCACCGGCAUGUGUUUUAUGGCUCAUGAGGCUGAUGAGGAGAACGACAACACGGAUGAGGUACAAAUGUCUUAUGAUGAAUUAUAUGCUGAGUAUGUGAAAGUUGAAAAUCUGUUUUUAACGUAAGCAAAAGUCCUUAAAAAAUGCACGCGCACCAUAAAUGAUAAUCUUGCUCAAAUUGAUUCUCUCACACUAGAAAUAACUACUCUGAAGGAUGCUACUGCUAGUGUGCCUUCUCAUGAUAUUGAUGAUUGUGCUGGAUGUGAUGUGUUGCGUGCUGAAUUAGAACUUGCUAGGAAUACUCAUGCUAGUAUGUCACAACUACUUGAAUCUGCUAGAAAUGAACUUGCUGAUGUAAAUUGAGCCCUUGCUCCCUUUGUGUUGAAAAUACACCUAUGUCUGUUCCUAAAGUUGCAGACUGUGCCUGCCCAAACUGUGAUAAAUUAAAUGCUAGAAUUACGAAUCUCGAACAGACACUUUUUGAUGCAGAGAAUCCUCCCUCUUGUUUGAAGUGCAAAUACUUUGAUGAUAGAGUUAAAAAGUUGAAUCAAAUGAUCCUAGAUGUGCGUGCUCCUAGAAAUUGUGUAAAUUGUCCUAAACUCGAAGAAGAAGUUGAGGAACUAGGAGCUCAUCUCAGUGAAAUCUAUAAGAAAUAUGAUCUUGUUAAAGCUUCAAAUUCAAAGAAACCUACUGAUUCUUGUGAUGCUUCUUCUAGUUCUGUUACUACUUGUACUUUCUGUACCAUACUUGAGAAUGAUCUUGUUGCUAUGCAUGAAGCAUUUCGGGUCAGGUUUGGCAAGGGUGUAGCAAAUCCUGUGAGUGUAGAUUGUGUCUCUUGUGAGGGAUUAAAACUUGAGAUUCAGGCCUACAAGGAUAGAUAUGGGAGAGCUGUGAGGGUGUCCUCCUUAAAAGAGUGUUUAUCGUGUGCUUCCUAUGCAAAAGAAGUAGCUUACCUCAAGACGAUCCUAGAAAAGCUCUCAAGUGGUGAGAAAAGAUUAAACAUGAUUUUAGACAAGUCAAAGGUGAGUAAAGGUCUAGGUCUUGGUUUUGACUUCAUGGAAGAUUCUAGGAACAACCCUCCAGAACCCAUAGGCAUUCGAAGUGAUGGAGCUAUCUUGGUCCGUGAGAAUGAGAGAGCGACAUUUUUUCAGUCUGGGGGACUUUUGCCCACGAGUCCAAAUGACAAGGGUACUUCUCCUUCCACUGGUUCUCGUGCUGAAAAAGAGAGAAUAGUUUACCAGUGCACCUAUUGCCACAAGUCUAGACACCUUGCUGAGUUUUGCUUCAAAAAACUUAGAGAUGAAUGUAGAUCUCGUGUUCGUGCAGUUAGGGGCAUGCAACGAUAGGCUCAUGCGCUGCAUGUUUCUAACACACAUGGUCAGAGUGAGUACCUGCAUGGCUCGGGUAGGAGAGACUAUUUUAAAUCCAACAAGACCGCUUCCAGAGCCCGAUUUACUAGGGGUAGAGGUCAACAAAAUUGUAGGUAUCAAGAUGGCCUUGCAUUGCAUGCUAAUAACACAUGUAUUUCUGCUCCUGCAAAGGGAGUGACCCAGUACUGGAUUAAAAAAUGUUUACUUACUAAUCCCAGUACUGAGUCACUUCGUUGUCGCUCUUUUGUGUAGGUUGGUUUUGAGGGUUUGGCAAACAAGUGGCUUAUUGACUCUGGGUGUUCACGCCACAUGACUGGUGAUACUAAAUUGUUCGCCUCCCUCUGCAAAGCGUCUGGUGAUGAAAAGAUCACUUUUGGGAAUGAUGCACAGGGUUGCAUUGUGGCCAAAGGAACAGUGCGAGUCAACGAGAACUGUCUUCUCAAGGAUGUAGCCCUUGUAAGUAAGUUGAGUUAUAAUUUGAUUUCAGUUUCACAACUUCUUGAUGAGGGUUUUGAGGUUCGUUUCAAGAAAUCUGCUUCUCGUGUUCUUGACUCUACUGGUGAUCUUGUCUUUGGUAUUUCUCGGGUUGGUAAAAUCUUUGGUGCUGAUUUUGGAGUGCUUUUGUCCUCUGGUCCAUGAUGUUUUGUCGCCUCUUUGAACAUGAGCGAGUUUCAGUUGUGGCAUCAUCGUUUGGGGCAUGUUGGUUUUGAUCAUUUGAUGUGAAUUGGCAGCCUUGAUCUUUUGCGAGGUUUGCCUAAGCUCAAAGCCACCAAGGAUAUUGUGUGUGCCCCAUGCCGACAUGGAAAGCAAGUCUCUGCUUCUCACCCUCCAAUCAAUCUGGUGAACACAACCAGACCCACCCAAUUGCUACAUAUGGACACAGUUGGUCCAUCUCGGGUCCGGUCAGCUGGUGGGAAGUGGUACGUGCUUGUCAUCGUAGAUGAUUUUUCUCGAUACUCUUGGGUUUUCUUUAUGGAGCAUAAAUCUGAAGCAUUCAAUCAUUUUCAUGAUUUGGCUUUAAGGCUAUUCAAUGUAUUUCCUGGUGAGAUGAAAACUGUUCGUAGUGAUAAUGGUUUGGAGUUCAAAAAUUCUUCCUUUGCUGAUUUCCUUGCCGAGAGAGGAAUUGAGCACCAAUUUUCGUCUCCUCGCAUGCCUCAACAAAAUGGUGUUGUGGAAAGGAAAAAUAGAACUCUUGUGGAGAUGGCAAGGACCAUGCUCGAAGAAUUUGGCACACCACAACGUUAUUGGGCUGAAGCCAUUAGUACAGCUUGCUAUGUGUCAAAUCGUGUUUUUCUGCGGAGUUCUUUGAAAGUGACCUCUUAUGAGUUGAGAUUUGGUAGAAAGCCUAAUAUUUCUCAUUUGCGGGUGUUUGGUUGCAAGUGUUUUAUCCUAAAUAAGGGCCUUCUCGACAAGUUUGAGUCGCGCACUUCUGAUGGUAUCCUUCUUGGUUACCCUGCUCACAUGAAGGGCUAUCGUGUUUUAAAUUUAGAAUCUAACCUUGUGGUAGAGACUUGCGAUGUAACUUUUGAUGAGGCUAGCCCAGCUAGACCCGAGUUUUCAGGUACACCACAAGUUUCCGAAACCUUAUUCGUUGAAGAAGAUAAUGAGGAUGGUGUGGGACAAGCCCCCAUAUCUCUUGCACCUGCCGCAGAACCUGCUACCACUUCUGUUCCAGUGGAAGAUGGCCCUGUACCUAGUACUUCAUCUACAACAUCCGUACCCUCAACAUUGAUGACUCCUGAUCCUACCUCCACUUCAGCUGAGGUAGAGGCUACCACGACUACUUCCUCACCUGCUUCUGACGUCCUUCAGGGAUCUCUACAUCUUCAUCAUGCUCACCCACCAGAUCUGAUCAUCGGCAACAUCUCUGAGCGUACAUUGUGCUCCAGGUCCACUCAUUUCUCAGACUUUGCACAUACUGCAUUUGUUGCAUCUUUUGAGCCCCGAGAUGUUAGCCAUGCAUUAGAAGAUGAAAACUGGAUAAGGGCAAUGCAUGAGGAGUUAGAAAACUUUGAGAGGAACAAGGUCUGGCAACUUGUAAAACCCCCGUUUGACCAGAGUAUAAAUGUCAUUGGAACCAAGUGGGUUUUCAAAAAUAAAUAGGGAGAGGGUGGCCAAGUUGUUCGCAACAAGGCUCGCCUAGUUGCUCAAGGUUAUUCUCAAAUUCAGGGUUUUGAUUUUGACGAGACCUUUGCACCUGUUGCACGGUUGGAGGCGAUAUGUAUUUUACUUGCUUACUCUGCUUCCAAGGGUUUUAAGUUAUUUCAAAUGGAUGUCAAAAGUGCUUUUCUAAAUGGUUUCAUUGAUGAAGAAGUUUAUGUAAAACAGCCCCCUGGUUUUGAAAAUGACAAGCUCCCAAACCAUGUCUAUAAAUUGCAGAAAGCUCUUUAUGGUCUUAAGCAAGCCCCUAGAGCUUGGUAUGAUAGACUCAAAGGGUUUUUGAUCAAGAAAGGUUUUAAAAUGGGUGAAGCUGAUAAGACCUUGUUCACUCUUAGGCAUCAUAAUGAACCACUCUUAGUGCAAAUUUACGUAGAUGAUGUCAUCUUCGGUGGAUCGUCUAAUGCUCUUUGUGCUAAGUUUUCCAAAGACACGAGUGAUGAAUUUGAGAUGUCCAUGAUGGGUGAGCUGUCCUUCUUUCUUGGACUGCAAAUCAAGCAAACAAAGCAGGGCACCUUUGUAUAUCAAGGAAAGUACACGAAGGACAUGUUAAAGAAGUUUGGGAUGAGCGAUUCCAAGCCACUCCAUACCCCAAUGUCCACUGCCACAAUACUUGAUGUAGAUAAAAAUGGUGAGGUAGUGGACCAGCGAGAAUAUAGAAACAUGAUUGGCUCACUACUAUACUUGACUGCAACGAGGCCAGACAUACAAUUUGCAGUGUGUCUGUGUGCUCGUUUUCAGGCUUCCCCAAGAGACUCCCACAAGCAAGCCGUCAAACGCAUUUUAAGGUACCUCCAAGGAACACCUGAUUUUGGCCUAUGUUUUCUAGUUCUUCUGGUUUAGGAGUUAGGGGGUUUCGAAGAUUUAGACUUUGGUGGGUGUAGAAUAGACCGCAAGAGCACUUCUGGCACUUGUCACUUUCUAGGUACUUCCCUUAUUUCUUGGUCUUCUAGGAAGCAAUCUAGUGUAGCACAGAGCACAGCCGAGGCAGAGUAUGUAGCAGCUGCGAGCAGUUGUAGUCAGAUUCUUUGGAUCUCAUCUACUUUACAGGAUUUUGGGAUUUUCAUUUCUUCUGUUCCACUUUUCUGCGAUAACACUAGUGCGAUAAGUAUUGCUAAGAAUCCAGUCCAACACUCUAGAACUAAACACAUUGAACUGUGCUACCACUUCAUAAGAGACCAUGUGGAGAAAGGUGAUAUAGAGCUCCUGUAUGUUGAUACUGAGCAUCAGCUUGCUGAUAUUUUUACCAAACCUUUGGAUGUUAGUCGUUUUGCUUCUUUGCGGGGAGAUUUGGGGGUCGUCGGCCCCUAUGGGAUCUUGUGAAGGGGGAGUUUGUGUUUUUUUUCUUCUUUUGUUCAUAUGUAUCAUAUUGCACCUUGCAUUAUAUGUAAGAUACCUUUGAGCUUUGAUGAUUCUUUUGUUGAAGAAAUGUUCAUAAUGAAGUUGCUCUUGGCCAUGUUAUGCUUAUUGUCUAGCUCAUCCUGUCAUGGUUUGCCAUAUAUGGAUAACCCUUUGCAUGCUAGUUUUAAUUGGAAAUGAAGUUGAACUAAAUAAACAUGUUGACCAUAUGAUGAGUUCUAUGCUAGUUGAUCACCUUGACUUGAGAAUCUACUUGUGCUUUAUAUUGCAACUCUGAUCUAUGUUCUGGCUAGCUAGUUUGGACUCCAUUUGAUAUCACACCUGGAACCACUAGAGACUUGUUUUGCUUAGACCUAUGUGGCUCGGGUCAGAUAUGCUCUACUGUCUUGUCAAGUCCCUAGUCUUGCUUUCAUGAGUUACUUUUUAUCUGCAUUUUUUGUGAAGAAUCACUCAAGAUACCUGCUCGUGCAGGAGGUGGUAUUUUGCUUGUGCCUAUUCCAUACUUUCUUAAUCAAACCACUCAAGGUACCUGCUCAUGCAGGAGGUGGUACUUUGCUUGUGACUUAACAUAAAAUCAAAAUCAAAUCACUCAAGGUACCUGCUCGUGCAGGAGGUGGUACUUUGCUUGUGCCUUUUCAUAAAAUUUUGAAGUGCAUCAUUUUGUGCUGACUUAAUUACUCAAGGUGCCUGCUCGUGCAGGAGGUGGCACUUUGCUUGUGAGAUGGUCAGCACAGCGAGAAGGUUCCAUUUUUGAUCGGGUGUGCCUCCUAGUCAUUGGUUAGCGCCAGGUUCCAAUGCCUUGCAACGUUUAGUCUCUUUUCCAUGUGUUUGCCUACAUAAGAACUCAUCAUGUGUGAAAACUGAAGUUACUAAGAACUUGAAUGUCUUGCCGCAUCUAGCUCAAGGAUUUUCUCUAUAUGUCUUAGUAUGACUAGAUGAGCUCUUACUUAUCAUGGCCUAGUAGCAUUUCUAUCUCAUGUGCUUCAACUGAAUAAUCUUCAAUGCUCGUACAAUUGCAUAAAUUCCACUUCAUGCAUACAUGUUCUAUCUUGAUGUUUUCUCAUAUGCAUAAAUUGAGGGGGAGGGAUCUCCCUUGAUGCUUAUAGUGCCAAAGAGGGAGAAAUAGGACAGUGCAUAUGUUGCAAAUUGAGUUUCAGUAUGUACACAAGUUGAGGGGGAGUCAGGGGGAGCCAUUGAUAUUAAUUUUUCUUUCUCUUGGUUCUUUCCCUUGUGAACUUGUGAAAACAAGGUUGAUUUCUCUCUGAUGAGUUUUUGUUGAAAGUGAAGCUUUGGAUCCGGGUGUUAGCUUCACUCUCCACUUUGUCCACUUGGUAAUGUCUACAAUUUUUUUUCUUUGGGACCAAGUGUGUUUUUGCAACUUUCCUUCUCUUUGUUAAAACUAAAACUCUAUUUUUUCUUGCUGAGAGUUGGGUUGGCAAUAUAAACAUCAAGGUGGAGAUUGUGAGUCCAUGUGGUGAUACCCUUAAUUUUGUGAUGAUUAUAUUGCCAAUGCUUUUGCUCGCUUUGAGAGUUAUUUUAAUGAAGUUUGAAAAUCACAGUUUGUCGGAUCAAGGACGUGAUCUAUUUUAUGUGACUUAUCUGGAUGGUGUUGAUUGUAUUAAACUGUUAAUUUGGAUUGACUUGGGUCAAGCUCAGGAAGUUUGUGCUCGCAAUAGUUGCUUGUUUCCAUUGUGUGCAGGUUCCAGUGAGUGCGGUGGUAGUCGACAACGAGGAUGGUUGGCAUAAGGCUUGAAGAGCUAAGAUGUGACCAUGGACGCUGUGCGGGAUCGUGCGGCUCAAAGCAACGCACAAGUUUUGGACAAGGACUAUAUGGAGGCAAAGGAGAAGACCAUGUCAAGUGAAGGUUAUUUUGGUAUGUUUACCAAAAUCCACUAACAAGCAAACCAAGAGAGUGAUUGUGGUGUUGCUUAAGAGUGGAAAAUGUUAUUUACAAGUGGCUAAGUAAAAUGGCUAUUUCUUUUAGUGUUUUGGGCUUGGCCCAUUCGGCGGGAACCAUGGCCCAUUCAAUGGCGGUGGAAGGCUGAUCCAACCUUAUAUAUGAGCUGCUAGGUUUUCCCUUGUGGGCAUGAACAGAGGAGCCGCCGCUACGAGGAGAAAAAUAGAGCAGCCGCCACACAUUUGAGAUAGAGCUUCCUGUGUGGGAUUUAGCCUAUGUGAGAGAGGCUUGUAACUCCAGAAAUCUGAGAAAUAAAUCCUCAAAUUGUUCCCAGCCUUACUAUUGCCGAGGUCUGCUGUUUGUCCUUGCAAAUCUCGUUUCUCUGCUGUACUAAUUUUGUCCCUGUGAUUCCUUGGCUAUAAUGGGGUUUCCUUGAUGGAAAAUCAUGUGCAUCCAUCCCUAGCUUUGAAUCUGGUUGUUAUUCAUUUAUUCAUGGGUUCUUGAGGAUGUCGCAGGAGUUUAUCUUUCGUGAUUUAUUUUGUGCGAGUUCAUACUGAGUUCUUCCCCUGUUUUUGAUUCAAUUUGAGGUCGCAGUAGUUUCUAGGGAAGUUCUUGUAUGCGUGGUGGAAGGGAAGAGCACCUGCUGUUCUCUGUCUCGCCGCCGGGAGCGACCGUCUUAGGAUUCAGUUUAUCCUCUUCUAGCUGUUGUGUGACUUCCAAAUAGCAGAAUUGGUUUGUGCAAUUUUGCAGAGGUAUAAUCGUGGUUUUCAGUUGUUGGUAGUCUUGCAGCUCUAUGCGCUACAGGUGACUAGAGUUCCUGACAAGUGAAAUCAGCUCCAGGCAGUGUAGUUCUUCUCCAUUGAAAAAGUUUCUGCUAGUACGUGCACGUUAAGUACUAGUGUCUUGUGCUAGUGCGUGUUACUCUUUUGGGUUAAGUAGCUCCCAUUUGAUUAGCCUAUAACCUUGCCGUGUAACCUCUUGGUCUAAUUAAGCACUAAUUUUUCCAGUACACUUUUCC